GCGGGUGUAGUUCAAUGGUAGAACGCCAGCUUCCCAAGCUUGAUACGUGGGUUCGAUUCCCAUCACCCGCUCCA
rnacentral:tRNA from 12 species